CUGAAUUAAUGAGGGGUUGUAGCUGGCUCUUAGGAGCAUGUGCACGCCUUUCAAAUUCAUCUUAACCACCUGUGCACCUGUGUAGACUAUGAUAACUCUCAAUCUUAGGAUUGGAUGGAGGGAUUGCGUUCGCGCUGUCCUUCAAUUUCGUGGUCUACGUUUUAUCUAUAUACUAUAUUGUCCAGAAUGUCUGUAUUAGGUCUUGUACCUAUAAACUUAUA
rnacentral:misc_RNA from 1 species